GAUGAACGCUCGCGGCAGGCCUAAUACAUGCAAGUCGAGGGGUAUGGGUUGCUUGCAACCCAGAGACCGGCGCACGGGUGCGUAACGCGUAUGCAAUCUACCUUAAUCAGGGGGAUAGCCCGGAGAAAUCCGGAUUAACACCGCAUAACAUUGAGUUGUGGCAUCACAGUUCAAUCAAAUAUUUAUAGGAUUAAGAUGAGCAUGCGUGACAUUAGUUAGUUGGUGAGGUAACGGCUCACCAAGACCACGAUGUCUAGGGGAUCUGAGAGGAUGACCCCCCACACUGGUACUGAGACACGGACCAGACUCCUACGGGAGGCAGCAGUAAGGAAUAUUGGUCAAUGGGCGCAAGCCUGAACCAGCCAUGCCGCGUGCAGGAAGACGGCCCUAUGGGUUGUAAACUGCUUUUGUACCGGAAUAAACCUUCUCUUGCGAGAGAAGCUGAACGUACGGUAAGAAUAAGGAUCGGCUAACUCCGUG
rnacentral:rRNA from 1 species